AGGGUUUGCUGGCGUCUCAGUUAAUAGCAGUAACGGCAGCCGCUUGUGUUCUUGAUUCUUUGCCAAGCAUUCUUGUUAUUCAACACAGGAAGGAGGUGACUUCGCCUGUGAUGGACUUCCAGUGUGAGCACUGGCCAGAGUGACCAGGCCGACCAGCACCAGCCCUGAUCCAGAUGCAGAGGCCAGGAUGUGGGCCCAGCCCUGUGCCAGGAGGCUGGCUGGAAUAAAGGGAUGGGCAGGCUGGCAUGGGGGCACCCGCUGCCCCUGCCUGGGUGUUGCUGUGUAUUCCUGCCGGCCAGGGGCCACUGCCAGGACCACGCCUCCCUUUUCAUAUCCCGAUUCUUAAGUUCUGCUAUUGUGGUAUUCUGGUGGGAAAAAAAGAACCGCUUGGCUGUUUUUGAACUGCCUGGAACCUAAGAUCCUGAAUUUUUUCCCCCCCAAGGGGGAAAAUCUAUAUGGAAAACAUUUAUUUUAAAAUACAGGAUGAAGUGAAUUAAAAGAUUUAAAUG
rnacentral:antisense_RNA from 1 species